GAUGAACGCUGGCGGCGUGCCUAAUACAUGCAAGUCGAGCGAACGGACGAGAAGCUUGCUUCUCUGAUGUUAGCGGCGGACGUGUGAGUAACACGUGGAUAACCUACCUAUAAGACUGGGAUAACUUCGGGAAACCGGAUCUAAUACCGGAUAAUCUUUUGAACCGCAUGGUUCAAAAGUGAAAGACGGUCUUGCUGUCACUUAUAGAUGGAUCCGCGCUGCAUUAGCUAGUUGGUAAGGUAACGGCUUACCAAGGCAACGAUGCAUAGCCGACCUGAGAGGGUGAUAGGCCACACUGGAACUGAGACACGGUCCAGACUCCUAAGGGAGGCAGCAGUAGGGAAUCUUCCGCAAUGGGCGAAAGCCUGACGGAGCAACGCCGCGUGAGCGAUGAAGGUCUUCGGAUCGUAAAACUCUGUUAUUAGGGAAGAACAUAUGUGUAAGUAACUGUGCACAUCUUGACGGUACCUAAUCAGGAAGCCACGGCUAACUACGUG
rnacentral:rRNA from 1 species